GGGACCCUUCAGCAAAGUCAUUUAGAAUCAGCUAUAAGUGACUAUUGUGUAUAUUUAUAUGUAUACAGAAUGAAAAUAUUGCCUCAAUGUGUAAAACAUUGGACUUUCCUAUCUCAUUGUACUACAUCUUUCCUUUCAAAUGCUUUAUAACUGAAAGCUCUGUGGCUCAGUUUUAGGGUUUACUUGUAAACUGCGAGAUAACAAUAUAAACAUUAUGGGGACUGACAACAUAAAUAUCCUCACUUUCAUUUUCUCUUUAAUGACACAUCAUUAAGAUCAAUGCUAACAUAUAUCAGAACUGAACCUUGGAUGUGGAAGUCAAAGAGCAUCGAUAGCCAAAAUGUAGCCCCAUUUUUAUUUAAAACGAGUUGAGAAUGUAUAAAAACGAGCAGGACACAGACUAAGUGGCUAAUGGGUAAUUGGGUAUGAUGGGUAGAAUAAUUAUUUUACCAUCAGUAAUUGUAUUAUUUAUUACUGGCUAAUUUAAAUUAAAAAAAAGUCAGCAUGCUCUACUUCUCACUAACAUCUCUUUAUAAAAUGUAACAGGCUCCUUAUUAAUCCUCUUAAAAUUAUCAGGUUCAUUGGGCUCUUAACAGACAUUUUGAUUGAUGAGUUUAAG